rnacentral:rRNA from 1 species
AGUGAACGCUGGCGGUAGGCCUAACACAUGCAAGUCGAACGGCAGCACAGGAGAGCUUGCUCUCUGGGUGGCGAGUGGCGGACGGGUGAGGAAUACAUCGGAAUCUACUUUGUCGUGGGGGAUAACGCAGGGAAACUUGCGCUAAUACCGCAUACGACCUACGGGUGAAAGCAGGAGAUCUUCGGACCUUGCGCGAUUGAAUGAGCCGAUGUCGGAUUAGCUAGUUGGCGGGGUAAAGGCCCACCAAGGCGACGAUCCGUAGCUGGUCUGAGAGGAUGAUCAGCCAAACUGGAACUGGGACACGGUCCAGACUCCUACGGGAGGCAGCAGUGGGGAAUAUUGGACAAUGGGCGCAAGCCUGAUCCAGCCAUACCGCGUGGGUGAAGAAGGCCUUCGGGUUGUAAAGCCCUUUUGUUGGGAAAGAAAAGCAGCCGGUUAAUACCCGGUUGUUCUGACGGUACCCAAAGAAUAAGCACCGGCUAACUUCGUGCCAGCAGCCGCCGUAACAC